CAGCCGUAAACUAUGCGCGUUAGGUGUAUCGGUGACUACGAGUUACCGAGGUGCCGAAGGGAAACCGUGAAACGUGCCGCCUGGGAAGUACGGUCGCAAGGCUGAAACUUAAAGGAAUUGGCGGGGGAGCACCACAACAGGUGGAGCCUGCGGUUUAAUUGGACUCAACGCCGGGAAGCUCACCGGAUAGGACAGCAGAAUGAUUGCCGGGCUGAAGACCCUGCAUGACUAGCUGAGAGGAGGUGCAUGGCGUAGUCGUGU
rnacentral:rRNA from 1 species